CACCACUCAAGCCUGGCUUGGUAUUGGGUCCCCGGGUGACCGGGACCUCGAACACCGUCGGCCGGACGUCCCGGACCUCAGCGUCGUGGCGUAAACAUCGCUGUCGGGAAGGGCGUCGGCGCCGUUAAAUCUUUAUUCAAGG
rnacentral:misc_RNA from 1 species